ACGCUCGACACCUACGGCAGGCAGCAGUGGGGAAUAUUGCACAAUGGGGGAAACCCUGAUGCAGCGACGCCGCGUGAGUGAAGAAGUAUUUCGGUAUGUAAAGCUCUAUCAGCAGGGAAGAAAAUGACGGUACCUGAGUAAGAAGCCCCGGCUAACUACGUGCCAGCAGCCGCGGUAAUCUGAGCGGGCUGGCAAGGC
rnacentral:rRNA from 1 species